AACCCAAGCUAAUAGGCACACGGCGUAAAGCGUGUUUAAGCACUAUGCCAAAUAGAGUUAAAUUUUAAUUAAGCUGUAAAAAGCCAUAAUCAAGACGAAAAUAAAUAACGAAAGUAACUUUAUAACUGCUGAAACACGAUAGCUAAGAUCCAAACUGGGAUUAGAUACCCCACUAUGCUUAGCCCUAAACAUAAAUAGUUGCAUAAACAAAACUAUUCGCCAGAGUACUACCGGCAAUAGCUUAAAACUCAAAGGACUUGGCGGUGCUUUAUACCCUUCUAGAGGAGCCUGUUCUAUAAUCGAUAAACCCCGAUAGACCUCACCACCCCUCGCUAAUA
rnacentral:rRNA from 1 species